rnacentral:rRNA from 1 species
UAAGGAAUAUUGGACAAUGGUGGCAACACUGAUCCAGCCAUGCCGCGUGAAGGAUGAAGGCCCUAUGGGUCGUAAACUUCUUUUUGUACGAUAAAAAACUCCAGCUCGUGAGCAGGACUGAUUGUCGUAAGAAUAAGGGUCGGCUAACUCCGUGCCAGCAGCCGCGGUAAUACGGAGGACCCGAGCGUUAUCCGGAUUCAUUGGGUUUAAAGGGUGCGUAGGCGGGAUAGUAAGUCAGUGGUGAAAGCCCGCAGCUUAACUGCAGAACUGCCAUUGAUACUGCUAACCUUGAGUAUAUUUGAUGUGGGCGGAAUAUGACAUGUAGCGGUGAAAUGCUUAGAUAUGUCAUAGAACACCGAUUGCGAAGGCAGCUCACAAAACUAUAACUGACGCUGAGGCACGAAAGCGUGGGGAUCAAACAGGAUUAGAUACCCUAGUAGUCCCUGAGCGGGCUGGCAAGGCGCAU